GGGUGCAAUCAUACCAGUGUUAAUGCACCGAAUCUCAUUGGAACUAUGCAAUUAAGCACGCUUGGGCUAGAGUAGUACUGGGAUGGGUGUCCUCCCGGGAAGUCCUAGUGUUGCACCCU
rnacentral:rRNA from 1 species